GAGAACAAUCCCUCUAGAUCGCCAUAGCAACGAGGGGAAGAAACUGACUGGUAAACGGACGGCGAUCUCCCAGUGAGCUACCACUGGAUCAGAGUGAUGGACCAAAGCUGUUCUCCUAGCAACGGAAGCGACACAUAACCGCUGCAGAGAAGACUUUCUGUCAGGCUGCCUCUUCUUGAAAAAACACAACAGAGGCCGAGUGAGAAGUAGCUACAGUUUAAUUCAAACCUGCACCAGAACACAACGUGUUGGGCUGUUUUGUUUUGCCUCAGACGGUGGCCAAAGCAUAGGGCCAUGUGUCGUCUUGGGAUCAAUACAACCUUAGCACCAUGACA